rnacentral:rRNA from 1 species
GACGAACCGUGCGACGUUGUUCGGAUUCACUGGGCUUAAAGGGCGCGUAGGCGGGCGGUCAAGUCGGGGGUGAAAUCUUUCAGCUAACUGGAAAAGUCCUCGAUACUGAUCGCCUCGAGGAGGUAGGGGACUGUGGAACUUCCGGUGGAGCGGUGAAAUGCGUAGAUAUCGGAAGGAACGCCGUGCGAAGCGACGUGCUGGACCUCUUCUGACGCUGGAGGCGCGAAAGCUAGGGGGAGCAAACGGG